AAUAGAGUUAGGAUUGAUCGAAGUCUUGUCUUAACGAAACAAAAUAUGCCAACCUUUGUGAAAUGAAGGAAGUACAACCUUAGUGAUCGACUGCUUGUAGGAAUAAAUUUGCCCGAGAAACCAUGAAGAUGGUUGUAACCGUUUAGGAAACGACUUUUUGUCUGGGAACACCAGGAAGAUGGUUGUAACCGUUCAAGAAACAAUUUUUUGUAAGCCGACUCAGGAUCUUGUAGUUAACCCUGCACCCACCAAAUAUAUAAGGAGGGGCAGGGGGUUACCUGAGUGGUAUGACUCAUAGCAUACGCCGAAAAUUUAGAAAUUUCGAGAACUCUUGUCAUGCAUCGUGAUCUACGCUUGAGACACCAUCAAUACGAUCCACCAAACCCCACGAGUAGGGUAUUGCCUCUUUUCGAGGGCGAACAAGCGUAAAUUUCAUGGCACUUGCGUACCAUUGUGAUCUACUUCCCAUGCAUUGCCCUUGGAUCAAUUUUGCCAACUAAAACACCAACAAGUGCCACGUGUCAUGCCCUUAUCUUGCACACUAGAUCCUUGGACAGCAACAACCUCCGGCUGUCGGGUGGCUGACAUGUAUUGUCACUUGAUAAAAGAGGGAAAAGGCCCUGAACUAUUAGCUCUUGCUAUUUUUUCAUAACUUAAUCCAAUACCUUUUUUUUACUGUGCCUUGACUUUUAAUGAUGUGCACAUGUGACAACUUAUUCAGCGUAAACAAUGAUAAAACAAAAUAUUUGAAACCAACCAAGGGGGCUAUGGAAAAAUGCAAAAAGAAUGUAAACAUUAUAGAACUAAGAAGUUCUGAGACAUCAUGGAACAAGGAGGAAAAAUAAAAAAUAUAUAAUAAAAACAACAAAAAUACAAAAACGUUUCAAAAAAAUAGGCAUGUUAAAUUAGAAAUCGAAUAGUGGCUAAUUAAUACACUCCGCGGGAGCCAUUUUCCUUUUAGAAAAAAAACCAUCACACUUAUCUUAUUGAUCAUAAAAAUAGUUACAUCGCU
rnacentral:lncRNA from 1 species